CCUGCUCACUAGUCUUCAUUAAAAAAUUUAAAAAAAAUUUAAAAAUUUCAACAACCUUCCAAGCAGAUGGGCCUAGAGGGUAGAUCACAGAUCGUAGAGCGUAGAGCAUAGAUCGAAGGGAGAAGCUGGUAGAACGUAGAGAGUAGAGAGUAGAUGGGCUUAGAGGGUAGAGGGUAGAUGGUAAUCGUAGAGCGCAGAGCGUCGAUCAAAGAGAGUAGCUGGUAGAAUGUAGAGUGUAGGUGGGCUUAGAGGGUAGAUGGUAGAUCGUAGAUUGAAGAGAGUAGCUGGUAGAAUGUGGAGAGUAGAAUGUAGAUGGUAGAACAUAUAGCGUAGAGGAUAAACUCAAUGCAGAAUUGUACAUUAAAAAGAUUAUUAAAAUACUGUAAACCGUAAUAACACUAAACAUUCCUCAUGCACUUUAAUAUUUGCUACAAUGACUGUAAGCCUCUAUGCCCGUACAUAGAACUGUGGAGCGUAGAGCGUAGAUGGUAGAGGGUAAACUCAAUACAGAAUUUUAAUUGAAAACGAUUAAAACACUGUAAACCGUAAUAACACUGUAAUAACACUUUAAUAUAUGCGAGAUAUAUGCGAGGAAUAUGCUACAAAUUGAAAUCAAAUGUUACGAAAUAGGCAGGUAACCAUAGUAACAAUACACAACAAUGGUAAAAGCUAUGAAGUAGGAGGUAAUGUAUCUUUCCAACAUGUAGGAGGAGACUGGUGACGAAAGUGUAGAGUCGUUGAGCUCUACAAAAAUUUCUGUGCCAAAUCGAGCUUCAUACAUGUAAAACGGGUGCCAGUUAUAAGAGGGAGGGCAAGGGGGGGGGGUCUUAUCACGAAGUCACGAUAGUAAAUUUUCGAUUUCACGAAUCACGAAACAAAAAAUUCACUUUUCACCAUUCUCGAACAUGUGCACGAAACUGUAAUCAAAAUUUGUACAAAAAAGUGCAUUCUUUAACUUUACCAAUAAUUUACAGUUGUUGGAAAGGUGAUAUUUGAAAUCUUAAUUUGUUGGUUUUACUUUAAGAGACCUCUUAAGAGAAAUAUCAGACUUGGACAGCUCUUCCACUGUGAGUUGUUACGGCUCUUAAGAAGGUUUGAGUAUCGUUGUCAUUGUCACUUUCCACGGCAUCGUCAGGGCCACUGUCUAUGUCAUACUGCACAUCAUCUUCUGGGACUUCCGGGGCUUCAGACACUUCAGGAUGAGCAAAGGUGACUUCUUACUCUUGCUCUUCUUGUUUGUCGAAGAUUGGUGGAACAGCUGGCUGAUACUGUGUGGGAGGUUCGUGGUGGAUCUUGUCCUUCGGGUAAGCAGAAUCUGCUGGACGAUACAUAUUCAAAGGCAAAGUGCCAGCCUUGAACUUUGUUGUUUCUUGCCUCACAGUUCUCUGUCAAACGCACUUGCCAUGCUGAACUGCCCAUUCUCUCAUGAUCUGCUCUUGGGUAGAAUUUAAGUACCUUGUUCUCCCAAGAUGCGAAAGUUUGGAAAUGUCUUUCAGUGGAAUUGAACUGUCUGGAACUGGAUAGUAGGAUGUUGGGUGAGUGGAAUAAUAGGCUGCCCAGCUUGUGAUCCUUUUGAUGCUUUCGUACACAGUGUUUCCUAGAUUAUGGGAGUAGUUAAGAGAUGUGGGGAAUUUAUCCUUGAAAUGACCAACAGCAUCAUGUCGUUCAUCAAUGGCUCAUCAGUCAAAAAUCCUAUUGAGACCGGUUCAUUGGCUAACACGGUGAUCAGGAAAUCAACAGGUUUAUUUAAACCUGUCAACAUGUUUCCUUUGUCACUACUCUCGGUCAGCUUGACUCAAGCGUUAAAUUCACUAAGGUCACGGAAAAAAUCUGAUCACAAUGCAGUGAAAUUCAGCUACGAACUCAACUUUAGACAUUCACGAUUUAUUUCUUAUCUAUUCACGAUACACAGCCAAGGACUUUAGCAUUUCACGCCUCACGGAAUACACUUCAAUCACGAUUCACGGAACAGUUUUUUAUCAAAUCACGAUUCACAGAGCACAAAAAA